UGUAAGCGUAUACCAAAGUUGUUGCAGUUAAAACGCUCGUAGUCGGACUUUGGCAGUUCCGGAUGUGUGCACGUCGUGUGCGCACUUCGCGGGGAUUGCUUUUGUGGUCUUGCGUAGGAUGAGGCACUUUUAUUAGUGAACGUCCUCACGCAACCACUUUCUACUGUGAGAAAAUCAGAGUGCUCAAAGCAGGCAUUUGCCGUGAAUGUAUUAGCAUGGAAUAAUAGAAUAGGACUUGGUUCUAUUUUGUUGGUUUGUUGGGACUGAGUAAUGAUUAAGAGGGACAGUUGGGGGCAUUUGUAUUUCGGUGCUAGAGGUGAAAUUCUUAGAUUACCGAAAGACAAACUGCUGCGAAAGCGUCUGCCAAGGAUGUUUUCAUUGA
rnacentral:rRNA from 1 species